CAGCAGCCGCGGUAAUACGAAGGGGGCUAGCGUUGUUCGGAAUUACUGGGCGUAAAGCGCACGUAGGCGGAUAUUUGAGUCAGGGGUGAAAUCCCAGAGCUCAACUCUGGAACUGCCUUUGAUACUGGGUAUCUUGAGUAUGGAAGAGGUGAGUGGAAUUCCGAGUGUAGAGGUGAAAUACGUAGAUAUUCGGAGGAACACAGUGGCGAAGGCGGCUCACUGGUCCAUUACUGACGCUGAGGUGCGAAAGCGUGGGGAGCAAACAGGAUUAGAUACCCGUGUAGUCCCUGUCUCUUAUACA
rnacentral:rRNA from 1 species